rnacentral:lncRNA from 1 species
GCACCGGUAUGAGAUUGGAUAUCUUCAAAGAAUCCUCAAAAUGAAACAUAAGGACGCAAUAAUAAAAAGAAAAUUUCAAUGAAUUAUGAUUCAAUUUCCUUGACUUAAUAUAAAAAAAAAAAUCAAAAGCAAGUUUUUUUUUUUAUUUUAACAUAUAAAAUAAUAUUGGUCUCAUGGUGGACCGAAUCUACUUGUUGAAGGUCUAAGUCUAAUGAUGAUUUACUAAGACUUAUUUAUCAAAAGAUGAGGAUUUAAAACUUCAUCCGAAGAUGACAAAUAAAAAGACUUCAAUAAAAAAUAAUUUCAUAUCGGCAACUCCGAUUGCAAAUAAUCGGGUUCAAUAUUUUUUUUUCUAUAAUAAAUUCAAUGUUAUAUAAAACACUUGUGUCAAACAUCUGUUUUUAAUAAGUAUUCCGAAGUCUCUAAGGAUAGAUUAUCGUAACGAUCUUAGUUGUUGAUAGAAAAGUCUCAUAAUUUAACCUCUAUCUUUAUCACUUACUUUGCAUAAAAAUAAAAUUUAUAAUCUACAUUAUAAAAUCGAAAACCAAAUUAAAGGAUUCGAGGAGAGCUAAUUUUAAUUACAUAUACAACCCAAGGUUCUCAUGGCAUAUGAACAACUCCCCAUAGGAGCACAAGACACCAUCGUGAUGAAUUAGAAAAGCGAGCUCCAAUAGUACUUACAAGAAACCAAAUAUCAUGUAUCAUCAAUUAAAGGUGUAUGGAUCGGGCUAUGUCAAGACCCUCUUGGGCCACACCAUGCUUGGCACAAGGCCCAGAGAUGUAAUUAGUUGUUUCUAAAUAGAAGAUCUUGAUAGAUUAGCAUUCCACGAUAUACAAAUCGGUUUCAACUAAUUAUCUUCAAAUUAAAUUUAAUGUGACCUCUUUCUCUCCUCGUACCCCUCAUGCAAAGAAUAUUUAAAAUUGAUUCAAUGAUUUCAAGAAUCAUACCUUUCUUAGAGAAUAAAAUCGGACAAUUAUUGAGAGUUUGAAGUCUCAUUCACGAAAGACAAAAAAAGAAGAAGUAAAAUUAGGGUAUAUGAUUGUCAUUAUUAUUAUUGUUCUUAAUUGGAAAGACAUGUCUAUUUGCCAUACAUCUAAAAGAAACGCAAGAUAGAGCUGACGUGACUUGCAUUAUAUGAUUGCACAUGCCUACAUAAAUAAACACUAAUUUAAAAUUAAAUAUAAUAACAUGCAAGUCGAUCACAUGUAUACACCAUCAAAUAAAGCCAUAUGAUAGUGCCAUGAUGUUUCAUUGCAUAUGCUUCCGCAUAAGGUUUAAUUCUUUUUUCUCUAAAUCUCUUAGUAAAGUAUCAAAAUGACUUUUUGUGUAGUAUAUGGGAACAUAUAACUUUUGGUUAAAUACCAAAUACUAGUCAUGGAAGAAAUUGGCAAAUAAUUAGAACAUUGUUGUAAGUAUUUUCAUGAAUAAAUCUUUCAUUAAAUCACCACACACACAUUUGAUCAGAAAUCCCAAACCAUUGACUUCUCAUAUAUCUUUAACCACAUUUAUUGAGAAACCAUUAAUUACAGCUUCGAGUUUGGACUCCCAACAUAAUAAGAUCGCACUGUGGCAUCAUCAGUUGGCCCUCCGGCAGUUCAACCUUACCUCCCCGGCCGACCCUAUCAAUGGGCUGAUGCUGCCCAUCUUCACCAUGGCCGCCGCGAAGUCCCUGUUGAAGGCCUCGCCAUUCUUGCUGUACAACCUCACCAGCCCAUCCGCCGGGCCGCCGUUGAAGAGCUCCUGGUCGGAGUGAAGCAGCCCCCGCCGCGCCAUCAAGUCCCGGUAGUAGCUCACGUCGAACCGGGUGGGACUCGUGGCGUCCAGCCCAACCAGAGUGUCGUCGCCGCCCGCGGCCGGGCAUGUCCUCUUCCUGAGCGUGGCGAAGCCCGGGUCGACGUUGGAGUCGUUGUACACGUGGGGGCGGAAGUUGGCGCACCGGGCUGCGCCUACGGUGUGCGCGCCGCAGAGCGCGGUGAGGUCGCGUAGGCUGAGACCCUUGGCGGCGAACCUGGCGACGAGGUUGCUGAGGCCAUCAGAGACCGGGGGGAGGCUGGCGUUGGCGGCAGCGAUGCUGGCGGUCCUCGCGUCCCGGCGGCCCAGCUGCACCGUCCAUGACGGCCCUCCAAGCUGCACGCGUAGCAAGUGAGUUCUACGUAGGAGAUGGCGGUGGUGCGGAGGUGCAGGGUGAUUACCAGGGUGACGGCGUCGCGGGAGGCGAGGGCGAGGAUGUCGGCGCAGGAGACGGUGGAGCGGCAGGCGGCCUCCACGCGGGACUUGAUGUCGUCGAUGACUUCGUACCCGCGGAGGGAGUUGGCGUUGGUCACCGCGUUCUUCUCGCCGAUCAUGGUCGGUGUGUCGUCGAGGAGGACGGACGCAUCACAGCCCUGAGGAAGAAGGAAGUCUGGUCAAAUUUAUCUUUGGUUAUAAAUUAAUAUAUACGACAUUAUUAAUUUGAUGAUAGAGUGUAUAAGAUUCACUUAUAAAAUAGUCUAAUAAGUAAGUACAUAUGUGAUCUGUCAUAUAUAUAUGCUUUUAAUGAAAUUUUCUUUUAAUUUUUUUAAAAAUAUUAAUCCGAUGAUAAUAUAUCUAAUCUUAAAAUUUUAUUUUAUAUUUAUUUUUUACAUCUAAAAGAUAUUAGCUUUGUAACCAUCUAAAUCUCAGCUUAUAAAUUUUUUUAAUAUUAUAAUAUUAAUAUAAUGGUAAUAUACCCGAUUUUUCUUUGGGUUGAGGGUUUAAAAUUUAUACCUAUAAAUUUUUUGUACCUAAAAUAUUAGUCCGAGACGACGAUAUCUUGAUUUAUUUUAGGUUGAGAAUUCUGAAUCUUAUCACAUCUUUUGCAUCUAAAACCAAAGUUGAUAAUUCAUACUGAAAUGCAUUUAUAAUUUAAGGUAGAUAAAUUGGUCAUGUUUCCAAAAAUAUACUUCAAAAAUUCAAAUAUCAUCUUCACCAUUUACCAUCUAUAACAAAUAAAUAAAUAAAUAAACAUUUCGAAAAAUAAAAGGCACUUAGAAAGCUUUAUUGGGGGGUAAAUUACAACAACUCGUAUAGCUAGCUAUACAAGAUACAAAAUUAAUGGAACCGUAUAAAUUGACGUUGAUGAUUAGAUAGCUGCAUCAGUUAAAUUUCAUAUAAUUGAGAAAUACAGUUGAGACAUACUAAUCAAAAUUUCAUAUAAUUGAGAAAUACAUUUGAGACAUACUAAUCAAUGAUCCAAUAAAAUCUCCAUCGUGACAUGACAUGAUAUGUGAAUCGUAUCUACCCAUAAACUUUUGUCUUCGUCGAUCCUUGAAUCUUACGUACUAUAAACAUGACUCGAGGUCGAGAUUCACUGUCGCCAAAUUUUUUUGUUUUUGAUGUUUUUUCUCUGUAUAUAUGACAUGAUGAUAUGUGAAUCGUAUCCAUCAAUAAACUUUUGUCUUCGUCGAUCCUUGAACCUUACAUACUAUAAACAUGACUCGAGGUCGAGAUUCACUGUCUCCAAAUUUUUUUAUUUUUGAUGUUUUUCCUCUAUAUAUACUUUUUAUCUACUAAUUUUUCCUUUGUGUCAAUCGUUUAACUUUGUUAAUCAAUAACCUAAUCCAAAAUUAUGUGUUUUAGAAAAUAUGAAACUCUACUGGAAGAAUAAAUUCAUAAUAUCAUAGAAUUUUGAAGCCGCAAGUAUGCAUAUAUGAUAUGUAAACAUGAAACACCUAAUAGCAAAUUUCAUGUACCUUCUAAAGUAUUGAUUCAUAUCGAUAUACCAAAUAUUCUAUGCUACAUGUCUUGUGUAUCAAAUGGUACAAGUUUUAUAUUAGAUAUAUCAUUCAAUUUACUGUCAAACUAGUAAGAUACUAAUGGGUAUCGUACCAAACAGUAUUGUAAACUUUGCACCUAAUUAAUUACAAUUUGAGUAAAAGGAAGUAUUAGUUUCACUAGUAUAUCGGAAAUGUAAUUAAUUAAGUACAAGUUUGAGAGAGAGAGAGAGAGAGAGAGAGAGAUAACAAGUACAAGAUAUCAGAAAAUAUUACAAUUUGAGAGAGAGAGAGAGAUAACUAGCACAAUAUAUCAAAAAAUGUUACAUACUUUAAAAGGACGAGUAAUCAAUAACCUAAUUAAUGCUAUGUGUUAGCUUCGAUUAAACAAUUUUUUUUUACCGACAUUGUUUUCGUAUUACAAAGGAUUUAUGUUUUUUUUUAACUUUUAUAGUUAAAAAAACUUACAAAUGCUUAUGAAACAUAUAAUGUUCAUAUUUGUACCUCUCGGUUCUAAUUCAAAAAGACAAGAUGGAAAGAAAAUAUAAUAUUAUUAUUCGACAAUGUGGACUUAGAUACAAAUUUUACUCUAUGAUACAAAAAUAUCUACAAAACUCUUAGCUUUUGUUAAGUAACACUGAUAAAUUUAUCGAAUAAGAUUUUAAAUAUUCUAUUUUUUUAUCAUUGUAUAUAGUUCUACUUCAUGGAUUAUGAGAUAGUUAGAAAGAGAAAGAAAAAGAAAAGAUAACAUACGUUCACGAAGCAAUCAUGAAAGAAGAGACGAACAAGAGAGGCACCCAUUCGAGGCUCCUGCCUCACGACUUGAGUCAUGACUGAUGCCACGAUUGCUUGUAAAUUCGGGCACGUCGUCACGUAGAACGUAGGCGAUAACUGUGCUUGUGCUAUGCACACCAUUAGAGAAAGCAUGACGAUAGUACCAAGGAGGCCAUUAGAGAAGGAAGCCAUAACACAAUGAGAUGAAUGAUAACACUGCCUCCUUGUGUACACCAUAACACACAUAUAUAUAGAUAGAAGAUUGAUACACAAUGCGCAUCUUACAGGUGGCUAAUGGGGACGUGACAAUGAUGUCUCCAUCGAUCUUAUGUGUUUUUUGUUGGAUCCAAGUAUAGGAUUAGUAGAGAGUAACAAUUUGACUCAACCAAAUCAAAUGAUCUGUCCUAUUAUAAUUGCUAAUAUGAUUUGGCUCAACCAAAUCAAAUGAUCUGACUAUUAUAAUUGCUGAUAUCAUAUGGCUAAUUUGGAGAGAUCGGAAUGAUGUGAUGGCUCACGCAAUGAAGUUCUAUCCGGUAGAUUGAUUUAUUCAUCGAGAAAGGAGGGGCAAACAUACCACAGAAAAAAUCCGAUCUAUAUAGUAAAACACGAGGAGGGAUUCGGCGUUUACUUACAAAGAUCGAUAUUGAGAUUCGGAUAAUGACUUUGGUUCCUCCAUAGGGGAUAUAUAACUUUUGGGAGUGUUUUCCCGAGAGUGGAAUUACUCACAUUUAAGGACUUUCACAUUGGUCAGCGAAUUUUACGUUGCCUUUAAGCUGUCUCAGUGCUGAGGAAGAAGCGAUGGGAGAAAGAUGAGUGAAGUUUUAGCUUGGAAGAGGAAUUGGGCCAGUGAAGAUAACGCUGUCACUUUCAAGGUCAGUAGGUGUGAGGAAGCUGCCGACACAGCUUGCUGCUUCUGAUAACUUGAUUCCAACCACACCAAAAAUGAUUUCCAUCAGGAAAGGAAUCAACUGCAUGUGUGACAAAGAUCCACUUGUAUUUUUCUUGAUUUUUCCGCAUAGCAACUCUUAUUGUUAUUAUUAUUAUUAUUUAUUGUUUCAAGAGAUUUCAAUCAUUCCAAAAUGAUGAAAUUGUCAAAAUUCAGCUCAGUUGGACUGAGCACAAGUGAUACAUCCUUAUCAUUAAGCUCCUCUCUCUCUCUCUCUCUCUCUCUCUCUAACAAAGAAGGUUCAUUGAUCUCUCGAUUCGCUAUCUUUCACUCAGCUUUAUAGUACUGUUAUUUGUCAUCUCUGUAUAUAACCAAAAAUAUGGGUCAUGCAUGGAAAAUUGUUGUCAAGUCUUCAUCCAUCAAUUAUGGCCCAUCAUGUUUCAUUGAAAUAUACUUUAUGAUUCAUACUUAAAACAUUGGCAUGAUAGUGACUUACCAACACAAAACAUCAUCAUAUAAAUUUUGAAGAAUCUUAAUGUUGAUUAGGGUUUAACAUCGAUGGAUAAGACUCCUAAUUAGAGGAAGAAUUAAAAGUAAUAUAAUCCUUUAUUACCUUAUCAACUUAAAUGGAACUAAUUUGGUCUAUCUUUUAUUUAAAUGAAUUUAAUUAGUUUAAAGAUAUUUUGUAAAUGUUUGUUUGAGAAAAACAAAGCAAACGUAGAAAAGAAAUAAGAAAUUAUUUUUUUAAUCAAAUCUUAACUAAAGAUGUGGAAGUUUAUCGAUCAAGAAUAUUUUCAAAAGUGAAAAAUGAUUUUUCAAAUCAAAAUAAAAAUAUUAUCUUUCUCAAAGAAAAGAAGAUAUCAUAUAUUAACACGAUUCUUUUUUUAUUUAUAUAUAUAUUUAUUCUUAUACUUAAGCAUAUCAAUGAAUUGAGCUCUUUCCCACUUUGUGUGUGAGUGGCGCUAGGCCUACAAAGGUAAGAGGUAUUCUUGGGAGUUCUCUCGCGACAAAGCUUAAUAGUUAUCUUUUUAUAUUUUUUAAUUACUUUUAAUUUUUAUCUCUUUAUUUUCUUUUUUUAUUUUUCUACCAUCAAAAAGAAAUUUAUUGCUAUUUGUCUUACAUCAAAUUCAUUACUAUUUGUCUUAUAUCAAGUAAGAAAUAUUAUCUUCUCCAAAGAAAAGAAGAUAUCAUAUAUUUGAUUUGAUAUGAUUAUAACUUUCUUAUUUCUAUUUUUUUUUAUUCUUACGCUUUAGCCUAAGAUUAUAAUAAGGGAAAAGUACCAUAUUAUUUCUACAUUAACCUUAUGAACUUAGAUUAUGAUUGGAAAAAGAGAGAUAUAGUGUAUAAAACUAAUUAAUGUAUAAAGAGAAUAAAUAUACAAGCAACAUUAAUUUACAUUUGGUAAUUGUUUGCAGAGGUAAUUGGAAGACCCUUAGUAUCAAAUUUAGGGACUAAUUAGUAUUCAACAAAAGGUUUAUAGGUUCUAUAGUUUGUUAUGGAUAAACUUCUGUUAGAGACAAGUUUAAGGUUUUCCACAAUUCAUAAAGUUAAUCCUUUACUACAUAACUUGAUAUUAUAUUAACCUAAUAAUCUCUCUCUUCUUCCUACUCUCAAUGCAAUCUUCAUUCAAUAAUAUACUCCUAAUUUGAUGAUGGUGGUGGUAAUAUUAUCAUCAAUCUGCUCCAUCUCCGAUAGAGUUGUCUGGAAUUGAAGCUAUUUGACCAUCAUUCAAUUAUUUAUUCUACUCGAACAAGAAUUUAGGGAUGAAUUAACUUUGAUCAUCCAUUGUACGUCCUUGCUUUCAUCUUCAUUGAUGACAAAUGCACAACAUCAUUAACCAUAUUAUACUUUUGAAAGCUUUGAUCAUGUUCUUCAAGUUCUAACUAUGUCGAAGGCACUGGUAGGACGUCCCUUGUUAGAAUGAAAGCUUCACUUCACUAGUCGAAGAACCAAUCAUUGGGAUCCUCCAAUUAAAUGUGAUAGAGAUGGCCUUACUCUCAGGUGUCAUAAUAAUCCUUGGAAUUUACUGCAUCCAACUAAACAAUUCUUCGUAGGCAUACACACAAGAUUUACCGACUCGUCAAUCUUUAUAAUUUAUGGAUAUUUUUAUCUAAGUUUUCAAUAAUCAUUAGUCUGUUUGUGAUUGCAAACUCAUUUAGUAAGGGCUUCCAACGAAAGAAAUUCUUCCAAUUUGUCUUCCCUCAAGAAAUAUCUUUUCAAACUUCUUCUUCUUUCGUAUAUUCUAAAUCACUUUAUCUUCCUUUUGCUUGUCUUUUAAAAGAAAUCCAUGAAACAAUUAUGAUCCACUAAUUAUUUCUCAUUAUCAUCCUCAUUGUUUCGAUGUUGUCGUCGGUUGUCUUCUUAAUCAUAGUUCUUCUCUCUUCUUCUUAAACUUAUAUAUAUAUAUAUAUAUAUAUAUAUAUAUAUAUAUAUAUAUAUAUAUAUAUAUAUAUAUAUAUAAAAUUUUAGUUAUGACAUGAUUGGGUAACCACAAGUCCCAAAAUAUUAAAGAGUUAGGAAAGUAGACAAUAUAUGCUAGCUUAGGAAAGGACCUAAUAUAUAUCUAACAUCCCGUCUGACAUGUAAACGAAACCCAAAUAUAUGAUGUAGGAUAUUCAAAUAAUGUACUUGCAUAAAUAUAUUUAGAUAAAAAAAUAGAGGCAUAUAUAGAAUUCAAACUUGUGAUUUGCUUUGAUACCAUUGGAUAAUAACAAAUCCAAAAACUCAUUAUUAGAAAAAAAAAUACUUCGACAGGCUUAAUCGAGGGUGAUUUCUUAAAAAGCUUCAUUUUUUUAAUUUUUUAAAAAGUAUCCCUAUAUUUUUUUAAUAAUAUUUAUAUUUUUCUAUGAUUCCAAAAAUGCUCCUCGUCCACCAUCUUCAUCCAUUAUCAAGGAGUUGAUCGACCUAGGUGAGUCGAUGACGAAGAGGGUUUUAGGCCUAGGGGAGGUAUAGGAGAUCGUCUAGAGUGAUAAGAAGGUAAAGGAUGACAUCACGAGUAGAGGUAAAGGCCAUCUUAGGAGCGAAUGAGGAAGGACAAAUAACAAGGUCAUACGUGGGACCUCGUAGUGUACGAACAAGAAAUGAUGAGAGAUAUUUAUAAAAUUAAAAAAAUAGAGAUAUUAUUUAAAAAAUAAAAAAGGGCACCUUAGGGGAAAAAAAUCAAAAAGAUAGUUUUUUUUGGAGUUAAUCACCCUUUAUUUAACUCAACUAAUAAUUAUAAAAUUUAACUUAAAUUAUCCUCUAUAAAUAUUUUCCACAGAGAGAAAUUAUUUCUUUUUAUUUCACGUAAAUUAACAACGGAUACAAUCAUUGGGGGUAACAAUUCGAAUCAUGUCAACACAAUAAUAAAAGAUUAUUACACUUCACACAGUCAUACAUAUAAUUUAUUUUUUGGAAUCGAGACGUGGCAAUCAAUCAUCUACCCUUAGUUCACCUUCCUACAGUUCAAUCUUAUCUCCCCUGGCCACCCUGUGAGAGGGCUUAUGUUCCCCAUCUUCACCAUGGCCACCACGAAGUCGUUGAAGAAAGCUGACGUGCUCGAGCUGUACAACCUCACCAACGAGUCCUGCGAGCCGCCGUUGAAGAGCUCCUGGUCGGAGUGCAGCAGUCCCCGGCGAGCCACCAGGUUCUGGUAGUACCUAUUGUCGAACCAAACUGGGGUCUGCAGGUCCAGCGGCGCCAAGUUGCCGUCGCCGCCGAAGGCCGGGCAGGUCUGCCUGCGGAGAGCCGCGAAGCCGGGGUCGAUGUUCCGGUCACCGUAGAUGCGCGGGCGGAAGUUGACGCACCGGGCUUGGCCGACGGUGUGCGCGCCGGAGAGAGCGGUCAGGUCGCGGGCGUCGAGGCCUUUCCUGGCGAAGAGAGAGAUGAGGUCGGAGAGGCUCGACGAGGCCAACGGAAGGUUGGCGUUUGCGGCGAAUAUGCUCGCCGUCCUCGCGUCCCUGCGGCCCAGCGGCACCAACCAUGUUGGUCCUCCAAGCUGCGAGCAAGACGAUCACAUGCAUGCAUAAGUGCAAGCCGAGAGCGAAGGCUGUAAUGAUAUGUACUGACCAAAACCACUCCAUCACGAGCUGCGAGGGCUAAGAUGUCGGCGCACGACACAGUCGCGUUGCAGGCAGCUUCCACGCGUGCCUUGAUGGCAUCAAUGACCUCGAAACCUCUCAGGGAGUUCUGGUUGCCGUUGGAGUUCUUCUCGCCGGUGAAGGUCCGCGUGUCGUCGAGAAGGACGGACGCAUCGCAACCCUGAAGGAAAGAUUGGUGAGAGAAGGAGGAGUAAGAUUACAGGAGGAGAAAGGGUAUCGUACGUUGACGAAGCAGUCGUGGAAGAAGAGUCGAAGGAUGGAGGCGCCCAUCCGCCUGUCCCGGAACACGGCCUGCGCCAUGACACUGCGCACGAUUCCUCGUAGCUUCGGGCAGGUGCGGUCGUAGAACCUCGUCGACAGCUGGCCGUGCGCAGCGGAAGCCAGCAGAGAGAGGAGGAGGAGAGUGAGGAAGGUCUUGCAGGAGACCGCCAUGGCUGACGAGGAGAUUGAGUUGGGAUGAGGAGGAGAGGUAUGCAAAGGUACUAUAUAUAUAUAUGUAGAGAGAGAGAGAGAGAGAGAGAGAGAGAGAGCAGCAAGAACAUUACAAGUAGAUAGAGUAGACUUUGAACUAUGAUUUGGACUUGGCAUUAUAAGUGUUUUUGUUAUUGAAGAGAAGACUUCCUUCUUUGGAGUACAGCUUUGAACUCUUACAAGGACAUAAAAGUACUUAAAACAAGUGGUGGUAGCUUGGAAAUCAAGAAUAUGACAUCAUGUGUUUUUGGUUGAUUGGUUACUUGUUUUAGUGGUCAUAAGAAGAACUUGAUAUUGAAAAAGAAAAAUAAUUUAAAAUUUUAUUGAAAAUAACUAAUAUACAAAAAAAAAUUAAUUUUUUUUUAUCAUAUGAGAACAAUAAAAAAAACAGAGAAAUGGAUGAUCCAAAAUCAAAUCCAAAGUUCCUUAUAUAACAAAAAAAAAAAGAAGCUUUUCUUAUCAUUUAUCCGAGAAAAAGAUAUUGGAAGAACUAAUCCAAUUCUAAACACUAAAACCUUUUUUUACAAAUGAGGUGUUCGUAAUGACUCAUGCGGUCGAUCGAGACGUGAGUUAAUUUAUAUUAAGCAUGCGUAUUAUGUUUAUUUCUAAUCUUCAGGUCAUCGUAGAAAGGCUGAAAACUUUGACGUUCUUCUCUAUAACUUCCGUCAGAGAACAACUAAAUAUGUUUUCUUCCAUUCUUGAAUUCCUUAUCCUCCAAAUAACCUCAUUUACUAAGUAAUUUAAUCUGUAUUAAUAAUUUAAAAAUACUUAUUAGCUCUAACACUCUAUAUCUUUGUUACUGUACUAAUUAAAUAAUUAUUUUUUUGUAAUAUAUAUAUAUAUGUCACAUCAAGAGAAAUUUAUUUGAUCUGGUCAGCUGCAAAAUGUUUCUAUCUGAAUAUUUUAUUUCUUCAAUUUCGUGUUGACUUAUGCAAAGUGUAUUGCUCACAUUAACUUAAUGUUUUGAGUGCCUCCGGGAUGACAUGAAAGCCAAAAUGGCAUUUCAUCAUUCUCCAAUUUUCUAUGAUAUAUAAUUUUUUUUGGUGGAUACGUCAUUUGGAUUGGACACAGAAUAAAUUUCUCGGGAAAACGAGUGGGAAUUGGUCUUCUCAUAUGAUAUGAUACAUCUUAUCAAGUAAAUUUAUCAUGUCUCUUAACUGUGUUCCUAUCAGAGUUAAUAAUAUCUGUUUUCGUUUUCUUACCUUUGUAAAGUGUUUUUUUACUAAUCAACCAAUACGAGUUUAAUUAACCCUAUAGAUCCCACUAACUCAUGAUGAGACCGCUCAAUAAUAACUUGAGUAUAAUUCCAGUUAAUUUUCAUUAAAUUAUUCUAAAAUUUUCCAAAGCUACUAUCAAACUAACUAAACUAAUGACACAUUCUUAGUAAAAAAUGCUGACUCUAAUAAAUUCUCAAACUAUGAUGAUCAAUUACUAAUUUAAAUAUUGAAGGGGUUUUAGUCGAGCACACUCCUAUGUAAUUUUGUAGGAUGAUUUGUCGAAUUUAUUAUCUUUCUAACACCUCUGCAUGAAAGUGAACAUAAGUUGGAUUCCAAUUUGCUCUAUGUGUAACCAAAAUCUAACUUAUCAAAAAUUUUAAAUUCAUACAAGAUCCACUUAUCAAAUAUUAAAUGUUUAAAAGUUCUUCUCACACCUUAAAUAGUGGUGCAGUAGCGAUUGUUGAAUCUCUUUUGAUAAUUGUGUUUAUGUUUUAAUUUGUAUUUUGAGCGACGCAGGAUGCUUCGAUCAUAAUGAGACAAUUAAAAUAGGAAAAAUCAUAUUAGGCCGGAGGAACAUGUCAGAAGAUUGAACGUCGGGCCGAUGGAUUGGUCGAUGUAUCGACAGAAGGCUUCGGGUCAUGGAUUCGGGCAUCGGGCCAAGAAGAGUGGGUAUUGCGUCGAGGAUAUCGAAGUUGCGGAGUCAACUGGCCGAUUGGGCAAUAGGCCAUAGGAGAGGACGAUGCGCCGAAGAAUCGGAGGAAGCGUCGAAGGACCAAUGACAUGUCGGACAACUUGAUUAAUGCUUAGUAUUAAUUGUCUAGAUCGAAGUUUGUUUUACAUGUGCAAGAUUAACUACGAUGGAAGUAAGACAUGUAGUAAGAGUUGCGCCGGAGUCAAGGCCAUGAUCACGUUGGGGGUUCGAGAGUUCGACGAAAGUCCGGACGGACGUCGGAGGUUCUGCGGGAACAAAUCCGAGAAGUCCAGGAGCUUGCCAAAAAAGCUCGUCGGAACUCGCCAAAUGGAUUGUCGCAAGUCCAAGAGUUUACCGGAAGUUCGCCGGAGCAUCGCCAAGGGUUCGUCGGAUGUUCGCCGGAAGUUCGCCGGAAGAAGCGAUUGACGCACCGGAGCAAGUUGCAGUAAAUGUCUUAAGAAAUAUCAUAGUUAGCAUGAAGAUUAAGCUAGGAAUGGGAGGUGAUCCUAUUAACUUAAUCUGGGGGCAAUUGGGCUCUUGACAGACCUAAAUUGGGCCGAAUGGAUCAGCCCAUUCAGACCCAGAUUUCCUGGCCGACGGUGUAACCGCCCAAGUCAGGCGGUGGUACCGCCUGGGCUCAGUCUCCGAGUGAGACUGGGUGGUGGUACCGCCCCUGUCAGGCAGUGGUACCGCCUAGGCUCAGUCUCCGAGCGAGAUUGGGCGGUGGUACCACUUGAGCUCGGUCUCCGAGAGGUAGUACCACCCAGUUAUGGCGGUAGUACCAUCAGUAUCCCGAAAAUCCGAGAGAUGACACAUUUGAGCUCUAAAUUCAAACCAAUUGGGGCCUAUAUAAAUCCCACCCUUUCCUGCAUGAAAGAACAACCGAAAGCUUGAUCAUACUCUGUGAUUUUAGAGUUCAAAAAUAUUAUAAAGGCCAAAAGUUCUCCUCCCUCUUUUCUUCCAAGUUUUGAUCAUUCAAGAGAGGAGUGAAAAUUCUGUAAGGGUCGUCUCCUAAGCCCAUCAAAAGGAGUGAAACUGUAAAAAGGUGGUUGGCCUUCGCAUAUUGAAGAAAGGCCUCUAGUAGACAUCGGUGACCUCGUUGGAGGAGGAAGCCGAAAGUGGAUGUAGGUCACGUUUGACCGAACCACUCUAAAAUCUGGUUUGCAUUUCCUUUGUACUAUUUAUCUUAACUAUAAACUGUCUUCCUUACUUUACUUCAAAUACGUUUCCGUAAGCUUUCAAAGUUAUUAUCUGCACGAAAUGAUUUUUACGUCGGAAUCGGAUUUUAAUGUACGAAUACAGUUUUAAUCGUCGGAAGUUUUCGACUGCACUAAUUCACCCCCCCCCCCCCUCCAUAGUGCUCUUGAUCCUAACAAUGAUAUACUGUUUACUUAUGAAACAUUGAAGGUGUGAAAUCUUAUUUGAUAUAUUUUUGAAGAUAUUGAUUAACUCAGUUAGUAAAGACUUUGAUUAAUUAUCAUAAGAUUUUGAACUCGAAUCUCAUUUUUAUCGUUUAUUCUUUAAAAAGAAAUUUUUUUUUAAUAGACAAUGAACUAAGCAAUUGAAUGAAUCAACUAUUAGACAGACUGUUAAAACAAGUGGGCAAUUGGAUAAGAUAACAGUCACAUCUCGUUAACCUACCUCUCAAUCUGUGACUACGACGGAAACACAGUACUGGAGAGAGAGAGAGAGAGAGAGAGAGAGAGAGAGAGAUCGUACCUUCUUCGUUGACUCCAAGAAGCCAUUCGAAUGUUUCCGGUGAUUUAAUGAGCUAAUACUUCAUCAGCUGGCCGACUAAUUAGCUUCAUGACAUCAAUGGCUCCAAGUGUUAGUAGACGACCAUGUAAAUGGUCAGACGAACUAAGAAAAUUAAUGGUUAUGUAUGGGUUGACUUUUAUUUUCCCCCCCGUAAUGCAUGGGUUUCACUUUAUUAUGUGUUAGAAAUUUAAUUAAACUUAUAUUUUGUUAAAAUGUAAUUUAAAUUUUAUGAAACGUGAAGUUGGAUGUUAGUGUUCGGAUAGAUUUUGCUUUGGUAAAUUGCAACAACAAAUGUUGAAAACUGUAGCAGCAGCAGCAAAUGUUGAAGUCGACCGCAGCAAAUCGGAGGGUGGCAGCAGCAAAUGUUAGAAGACGGUAAUGGCAAAUGUAGUUGGUUUUAGAUUUCGAUAAGGUUAACGCUUUCAAAUGUCCGUUGAUCUCCAAGAAAUAUGGGAUGUGUUUGUGAUCAAGGCAAGUCAAUGUAAGAAGAGACCAAGGGAAAAUAUAUGUCAGUGCAAUAUUUAGCCCUAUAAUUGACUAUAUUUAACAUUUCGAUUCUUAUAUGGAUAUCUCAAUAAUUACAAAAGUAAAAUAUUUAGAUUUAUUUAUCAUAACGACGUUAAUUUUAUUGAUGGAAACACGAAAAUAAAAAUAAAAAAUAAUUUUAAUAUUAUAGUUGGUAGUUGCAAAUGACGUUGAUGGUGGCAGAUGGUGAUGACAUUAGUGCCACGUCGACGCAGUUGCCAAGCGACCUUUUUGUCGCAUUGCAUUUAUGUCGGCACUCCAUCAUCGUGGAAUCGAAAUUCGUUGUCGAAGCUAUCGCGGAGAUCCACGACAUUUCGAAGCUGGAUCCGAAGAUGCACAACCCCCUUACUGAUGUUAGCGUCGUGUCCCUCCUUCUCGGUCGCCUCCUCAACCACCACCACUCGUUUGUGGCCAAGGCCCAGGAGAACAUUGUCGUGUCCCUCCUUGUCGGUCGCCUCCUCAACCACCACCACUCAUCUACGGCCAAGGCCUAGGAGAACAUCGUCGUUGCCCUCCUCAACCUCCCCAUCUUCGCCCACGAGGUGCUCAUGUGCACCCCGUUCAUCCUCGAUGCCCUCGUCGUCACACUCCACCUCUCCCCCACACACUACCACAACCCUUUACAACAUUCUUUCCAUCGAAGUGUACUACUCCAUCAUCAGGUCAAAGAAGCUCCUUAUUGUCGCCCUCAUGGUCCUCCUUAAGGUCCUUGGCACGUCGACUAGGUCCAUCAAGCACGCGCUCAAGAUCCUCUUCGGCCUGGCCAUCUAUUGGCUUAACCGCAUUGCCCUCGUUGAGCUAGGUGUCGUGCCGCCCCUCUUCGUGCCGUGGUGAAGGAUGGGAAAAGGGGAGGGUGUAAAGGAUUACGAUGGUGAGGGCGUUGAGGAUGCCCAAGGUGCACAUGAGAGUCUUGCGGGCGGAGAUGGAGAGAUUGAGGAGGGCAAUGACGAUGUUCUCAUGGGCCUUGGUCGCAGACGAGUGAUGGUGGUAGUGGUUGAGGAGGUAGGUGACAAGGAGGGACACAGCGUUGGCAUUAGCGAGGGGGAUGUGCAUCUCCGGGUCAUGCUUCGACAGGCGACGGAUCUCCGUGAUAGCUUCAACAAUGGACUUCGAUUCCGUGGCGAUGGAGCACCAACGCAGAUGCAGAGCGAUGAAAGGAUCACUCGACAACUACAUCGAUGUCGACGCUAGUGAUGCAAUCAUCCGUCACCACUGGCGUCGUCCGUUACCACCAAUUAAAAUAUUAAAAUUUUCUUUUUACCCAUUAUUUUCAUGUUUUUAUUGAUAAAACUAAUGUCGUUGGAUCCACCAUCACCGAUUAAAACGUUAAAAUUAUCUUUUAAACAUUUAUUUUCAUGUUUCUAUUAAUAAAACUAAUGUCGUUAAAAUAAACAGACUUAAAUAUUUUAUUUUCGUAAUAAUAUAAUAUUUUAAAAUAUAAAGAUCAAGAUGCAAACAUUUUAAAAUGUAAAGACCAAGAUGCUGCUAUAGAUAGCUAAUCCUUGCCGAUCUAGAACUCUCUUUCACAACAUAUUUUGAAGAAAAUGAGUUGGUUUAAGAGUUUAUGUAAAGUUGGAAGUUAUUGUUAGAAGAGAGGAUUUGACGGUUUCCAAGUUGAUAAUUUUUUUUUUUGUUUAGGAAGUAUAAAUAAUGAAAUUAUUACCUAGCUAAAUUGAUAAAUACUUCACUAUAUAAUCAUACCGUGAGUUGGAAUUCGGCAUUCCCCGUCUGCACUUAACAGAAGAUGACUCUCGAAGUUAAAUAACGCAAGACAUAGUUCCAAUUUAAAUAAUAAACAAGAUAAUAUAGCGAUCAUUUUGUAUAAUAAAAAAAGGAGUUUAAUAUUUUUGAUAUAAACAAGAUAAAAAUCCUUCACGUUGAUAAAAAUAAAUAAAGGUUAUAAAAAUGACAAAAAAAUCAUGUGUGUGUGUGUGUGUGUGUAUAUAUAUAUAUAUAUAUAUAUAUAUAUAUAUAUAUAUAUAUAUAUAUAGAGGAUUUUUUUUGUGAGAAUCAAGGAAAUAAAAGAGAGAUCAGAGGUAAAAAAAUGAAUUGUAAUCAAAUAACAGAAAACAAAUAUCACGAAUCUAUAAUCAAAUAAUAAGAAAUUAAACUAGCUUUGUCUCAAAUAAAAUUUCUCUCAGAUGAAAACCUUGUACCUUCACGCCUAAAAUUUGAGCAAUGAUUGGUCCAAACGAACAGCACCAAUUCAAUAAAUCUAUGUUUCAACAUUAAAAUUUGUUAAUCCAAUAACUCUCACACGAUUCACAUAUAAUAUAAAAAAUACUUAAUUCAUUAAUUGGUGCAAUAAAAAUAAAUACAUAAUAAAAAAUUAUACAUAUAUCAAAUCAAAUAAAACAUUUGCUCUUUCAUCCAUGUUCUUGAUUGAUAAUUUUUUUCAAUUCUUAUUGAAUAAUAAAAUUUUCAUUUAGAGUUAAAAUCCUCAAUCAAGAUUCAGAAACUUCAAUUAAAAUCAAUUUUUAAUUUAUUUCCUUUUUCUUAUCUGCUUCAUUUUUUUAGUUACCUUGAAUAAUCUAAAACACUAUACUAAACUGGAAACAUGUUGUCAAUGUGCACAAUAUCUCUCAAACUAAUCAAAUUUAUCCAAAAUAAGAUAUUAAAAAAAAUGAUCCACCAUCACGAAAUAUGAUUCAAAAACAGAGUACAUCCAUAUCUAAGCAGACAAAAGGAACAGACAGUUCCAACAAUUCUAAUGAACAGACCAAUAGUAAUAUGGAACAUCACCCUUCCGCACCGGUAUCAUGCCUUUAACUCUUCGAGGCUUGCUUCUCCUUGGCCUUCUGGAUCUUCAAAACCUUCUUCACAAUCUUCUGCUCUUCAACUAAAAAGGCUCGAAUAAUCCUGCAAGUCCAAUAAGGAGAUUAGAAACAUAGAGCCAAGAACAAGAAGCAAGUAAGACGCAAAUAAUGCCUAGUUUAAGCGGCUUUCCCCAACCUUUCCUUCACAGCACUUCCGGCUAGCACGCCACCAUAAGCACGAUUCACAGUCCUCUGGCUUCUGGCCAAUCUAGACCUCUUGUACUCAGCAGGUCUUAAGUGAGGUAUCUGGAAGUAUGAAACAAACAGCAUCAUCCAUUUGAAAGAAACUUAUGAAACUUGAACCUCAUCAAGACAGAAUUUUGGUCAACACUAGAGAAGUAACAGUUCAAGAAACUAAUGAAAAUGAUCCUAAUAUGUACUGUAUAAAGCAUUUCGUAUUGAACUAACAACACAUACGCACAACAUAAUAGCAAAUGAACACUAUAAAUCUGGAAGCAAUAUUAUAUUAUGAAAAAUGCCAUAAACUGCCUUCAAAUAGGAUUGCAGCAAGUUGUUAAAAUGUAGAACAAAAAAAGUGUAAAAAGAUGAAUAAGAAAAGCUAUAUUCUGGCAUCCAUCAGAAUUAUUUCUUUUUAGAGGGUAAAACUCAUGAAUCAGAAGCAAAGUACCAUAGGGAACCUGUAAUACAGAAUCUUCCAAGUUCAAGGUUGAGAUAGUAACAUGCUUUAUCAUAAGAUGUCCAAAAAUUAUAUUUAUAAAUCCGAAAAUUAAAAUAACAGCAUCACAGUAAAGCUUAAUAUAAAAGUAUAAGCUCCAAAACAUGUGUAUCUACACAGCAUCAAAACAUUAACAUCCUAAAAAGGCUGCUUUCUAACAUAUUGUUGAGAGACCCAAGCCAAUAAAAUCCUACACCAAGAGUAUGAUCCCAGUAGAAAUAUAAAAUGCUCCGAGUAAAUACUUCUAUCACCACAAGGUAGAGCCUGAAAGCGAGAAAGUUUUUUACAAAUAUAUUUAUACCCUCCACUCCUGACUCAUCAUGACAUGAGAGAAAAUAACUAUUGGUGGAGCCUCCUGAUCCCAUUACAUAUUAUUAAUUAUGAUGCAAAUUAAUCCUGGACCAGAAUCAUACCCCAAGUUUGGAUAGUUGGUCCAUCAUUUACAGGUACAUCUGAACUGCCUAAUAUUAAACAGAUCAUCUCCAGAGAAUAGUUUUUUAUUCUAAAAUAUGUACUAUCACUUUUCCUACUCAGGGAAUUUGACAGUUCACACAUUGUCCAAGUCCUCCAUAGUCCAUACCUGGAAAAUCCUCAAUCACAUAUUAUCACAAUUGAUUACUUAAUAAUAUCAUCUUCAAGCAGAUAAUAUAUAUUAAAAGAAUCUUAAUAUAGAAACAGAAUUACACAAUUUUUGUAACAACAUUUUGCUUAAUGAACCAAUAUUAACAAAAAUGGCUUGGAACAUGUUAGUCUACUAGGACAUUACAUUAAAUCGAAAACAUUAUAUUUAGAAAUAGAACACAGUGAUUUAAAAAACGUUAGGCGUCGAAAGGUACUAAGGUUCCCAAAUGACCGACGCGCUAGAUGCUCACCCAAGUGAAACGAGACGCUAUGAAAUAAAAAAUAUACAAUAUAAUUAAAAAUAUAAUUAUUUAAAUAAAAAAUAUGAUAUUAAAUUAAAAAUAUAUUGUUAACAAUAUAUUACUUAAGUUAGAGGGGGAAAAAAUAUUCUUUGAAAUACUAAAUAUAAAAAAUAUAUAAUAUAAUUAAACAUAUAAUUAUAUAAAUUAAAAUAUGAUAUUAAAUUAAAAAUAUACUGUUAACAGUAUAUUACUUAAAGUUAGAGGAGGUAGAAAAAAAUAUUAACAAUAAUAGAGGGAGAUAGCAACAAUGACGGAGGAUUAGUUUAAGAUAGUUAUGGCAGUGCUGCGAACGACAGCAACGACAGCGACGAAAGCUGUGGACAACAGCAGUGAGGGAAGCUGCGGACAGUAACGAUGACAACGGUGAAAACUGCGGAAGCUACGGAUAGCAGUGGAAACAACAACGGAAGCUGCAGACAACAGCAGCAACAGCGGCGAAAGCUACGGACAAUAGCAACGACAUUGAUGAAAGCUCCAAAGGGCAUCCGUCGAUGGUGGAGAAACCUGCGAUCCUCUCCCUUGAGAGUGGAAGGAAGCUAUGGGGGCCGUCAGACUCGUCCGUCGACAACGGAGGAAGGCUCGGUUUGCUGCGACUACAACGAAGGUAGCAGCAGAAAGCGUCAGUGACGGAGGCAAAAGCAACGCUAGGGUCACGCGAGCAUGAAGCGUGGCUUUUGAGUUAAGAAACUAAGAACCAAACCAGCCUUAAACCGGUUCGAUUCGCCUAAUUGAAUCGAGCGCUCGCCCGAAGCGCCCAACGCCUGCGUUCGAGCGAGCGCCUCAUUGAAGCGCGAUGCCUCGUGCACACACAAGAUGCUCAGGCCUCGCCUCACCUCGCCCGACUGCUUAGGCGAGCGCCUAUUUAAAUCACUGAUACGAAGAUUAAACAUUUUCAAACAAAAAGAAAAUAGUGUCAAUUAUGCAUCCGACAAAAAAAUCUAUUUUUUUAAGAAAGCAAAUAUACUUCAGAGAAGUCUAAUCCUAUUCGUGCACUUGAUCAUUCGCAAUCUGUGGGGUUAUCAAACAUAGCAUUACGGAAACAAGCAAAAGAUGACAUAAACCAAAGACGAUGUAAAAGACAGUAUCACUACGACAUAGAAUUACAACGGCAGGUCAAAGCCAUCAACAUAAUAGGCUUCUUUUAUGUUCAUAUUUCCUGACAUAGAAACAAAAUCAAUCACCAAAUAUAUGAAGAAACACUUGUAUAGGACAUUCACUAGUAAUUCAUGGGAUACAUUUGACCCAACAAUUAAGCAAAUCUACAACGAGAAUGAGAUAAAUGCUUAGAAGCCUACUCUUCCAUGAUGAGUAGUCAUCAAAGAUUCCAAUAGCGUGUCAGAAGCAAUGAAUGGCAUACCCCUUGGAUUCUCUUGCCGGUCACAGGGCAAAUCGGCCCGCUUGCUCUCUUGUUCGUGUACUGGUAUACAAGCUUCCCACCUACGUUUCCGAAUCGAGCACAGUAAGCAAAAAUUCCAAUAUUAUACAAGCAGGAGACAAAAAGGAUCUGCCAAACCCCAGAACGGAGGAAGGAAAGGGCAAGAUUGGAUCUUUACCUGGGGUUUUGACCACCCUAGUCUGAUUCGACUUGGUGGCGUAGCCAUGCCGCUUCCUGUACGUCAAGCGUUGCACCAUCUCGCCUCACGAUCGCGCUCCACCGCCUCUUCUCUGAAGCCGAAGGCGAAGCAGAACCCGAAGGAGCCGAGCGGCGAUGGUCGGGUGCAUCGUUAAAUUGAUCGCCCGCCAUAAAUAGCAACCUAGAUCCAACGGUUCGUAUGUCGAGAUUAGAAAUCUGGGAUGGAUCUGGACGCUGGUGAUCGAAGAUUUCCUGGUGAGGCAGACGCUCGUUAAAAGUAGGAUUAAUUUUCUUGAUAAGAUCAUUUUAACUGAUUUAGAUUAGGCCAGUAUAAAUGGUUUAUUUACCACGGUAAACAGGGAAGGAGUUCAGAAUUGUAGUGGGACAUCAUCAUGUUAGGAUGAGCAUAAACUAAGAAAAAUUAAAAUAAAAAAUAAAGGAUGAGCAUAAAAACAGCCACUUUAAAUGACAAGCAUAAAAAACAAAACGAUUCUCACCUAAUUUGACAUCCAGUUUUAGAUUUUACAAAUGACAUCCAGUUUUGAAAUUAUCUUUAUAGAGUAUGUAUCCUAAUUUGAUCAUUCCGGAAAAUAAAGAGGAUGUAUACAAUUUAGAAUAUAGUUAUUUUUAAUAAAAAUUAAUAUUUUUUAAUUAAUACAUAAAAUAUUGAUGUAAUAGACUCGCUUGGAAAAGAUAAGAAAUGAAAGGUUUCGAUAAUUUUUAUAAUAUAAAAUAUUGAUCUGACGUACUAAAUUCAUUUAUGAAAGCUUAAAAGUUCCAAAACUCGUUUCAAUGAACGUCGGAUAGUAAGUUUUUGAGUUCCAAUUAUGUUUUUUUUAUCAUUUAUUUAUCUUUACAAAAAAAAAAUUUAAUUUGGGACCUCACUGGAUCAAGAGGGUUCAACAAAUCUAGGGUGGUUGCCACGUUGACUCAAAAUCCAUUAUUUUUUAAAAUUCCCCUGGAUAAUAAAUCAUCAUAUACUUACUUUAAGACCUAUUAUGAAUCAAAUAUCAAAAAUACAUAACUUAAAAUUAGUAAAUGAUUCAUCAGCUAUGUUAUAUACUCGCUAUACAUUAUUGUCGAUGUGGGUCAACUGUCCCCUAUAUUGUGGCAUCAUUUAAUUUUAAAAAAAUUAAAAAUAUAUAUUAAAAUAUAUUUAAGACAAUAAUACUAAACCAAUAAUAACAUAAAAAAUUAUUAGCACCAGUAGUCGAUAAAUGAUAUACAAAGCGCAGAAAUAGUUGACUAAUACAAUAACUAAUUCAACUCGGUCAUAUAAACAUCGUCAAUUUUUGGAAUCCAAAUAUGCAAGGAGAUAUGGCUUUUGCUAAUUCCGAUGUCAAAUCAAUCUAACAUACAGCAGAUCAUCAUCAGUCACGCUAUCAUUAUCAGUAACGCUAAUUUACAUGAUUCAAGCCUACACCAUGACAAUAUUCGGUCAUAUUAGAAUUAAAUUUCCCACAUGCCAGCAUUCAUCGGUUAAUAAUGACAAGAGGAAGACAUUUGCCAAUGGAUGUUUCCUGAUAUAUUCCUUCACAUUUUGUGUAACAGAUGUUAUGCAAAAUCUAAGGAUGAACUCCAAGAUGAUUUAAUGAUCAAUCUUGUGAGCCAAGACUAACAAAAAAAAAAAGUCUCCUCACCUGCACUAAGUGUCAAAGUCUUGAAUGGAUAUUGCCACUAACUGUUGAACGACCUCUUACCAGUCAUCAUGUAGACUAUAACUCACAUUCUAAGUUACAUUCCAAGUUUUUCUUACUAAGGGAGAAUUUAAAUUAAGUCACAUUCUAAGUUAACAAAGUUGAAUAAAG